rnacentral:lncRNA from 1 species
UUGCGACACGGGCACAGAUCCGGCAGCGCCGGGCACGUCCUGUCCCCUCCCAGCAGAGCUGCAGGAGCCGGCAGCGCCUGUCUGUCCGUCUGUCUGUCCGUCUGUCCGGGCAGGACCGGGCUAGGCCAGCCAUGGGCUCGGCCAGGCUGCUGCUCGUCCUGGGGCUCGCAGCGCUGCUGCCCGCGGAUGCUGCGCCCUGCGGAGCGCAGCGCCCCGACAGCUCCACGGCCGCCAAGCUGCUGGGGACGUGGCUGUACGUGGCAGGGGCUGCCCAGUUCCCCCAGCACCAAGGGGAGAUGCUGCUCAUCGACCACGCUUUCCUGCGCCUGGAGCCCGGUGCCAGCGGGCAGGAGCUGCUCCUCAGCCACUACGUGGCCGUGGGGGACCAGUGUUUUACCAACAACCUGACCUAUCUGGAAGUCACUGCUGGUAACGCCACGCUGGUGAAGGACGCCAAGACCCAGCAAACUGAGGGGAUGCUGAUGAACAUGAGCUCUGAAAACCUUUUGCUCAUCCAGUACCAAAUGCAGAAGGAAAGGACCUAUUUGGGGCAGUAUCUCUACGCCCGGAGCCUGAGCAUCAGCACAGCUGACAAGGAGGAGUUUGAGCAGCACGUGGAGUGUCUGGGGCUGAGGGCAGAGCAGAUCGUGUUCGCACCAUGGAAAACGGAGGUGUGUCAAGUGAAAGAGGCCGAAGGCAGCGACAGCCCACAGGCAGAGGCUGUGGCUGCAGUCACAGCAGCCCCUGCUCCAGGGACUCCCUGGCCUGGCACUGCAGGGAACUGACCCACACAGGGCAAUAAACUAAUUCAAAUUGAAU